AUUGAACGCUGGCGGCAGGCCUAACACAUGCAAGUCGAGCGGUAACAGAAAGAAAGCUUGCUUUCUUUGCUGACGAGCGGCGGACGGGUGAGUAAUGCCUGGGAAUAUACCCUGAUGUGGGGGACAACUAUUGGAAACGAUAGCUAAUACCGCAUAAUCUCUUCGGAGCAAAGAGGGGGACCUUCGGGCCUCUCGCGUCAGGAUUAGCCCAGGUGGGAUUAGCUAGUUGGUGGGGUAAUGGCUCACCAAGGCGACGAUCCCUAGCUGGUCUGAGAGGAUGAUCAGCCACACUGGAACUGAGACACGGUCCAGACUCCUACGGGAGGCAGCAGUGGGGAAUAUUGCACAAAGGGGGAAACCCUGAUGCAGCCAUGCCGCGUGUAUGAAGAAGGCCUUCGGGUUGUAAAGUACUUUCAGUUGUGAGGAAGGCGUUGGAGUUAAUAGCUUCAGCGCUUGACGUUAGCAACAGAAGAAGCACCGGCUAACUCCGUG
rnacentral:rRNA from 1 species